UACGUAGGGUGCAAGCGUUGUCCGGAAUUAUUGGGCGUAAAGAGCUCGUAGGCGGUCUGUCGCGUCUGCUGUGAAAACUCGGGGCUUAACCCCGGGCCUGCAGUGGGUACGGGCAGACUAGAGUGCGGUAGGGGAGACUGGAAUUCCUGGUGUAGCGGUGAAAUGCGCAGAUAUCAGGAGGAACACCGGUGGCGAAGGCGGCAUCCUGGACCGACACUGACGCUGAGGAGCGAAAGCCAGGGGAGCAAACGGG
rnacentral:rRNA from 1 species